rnacentral:piRNA from 1 species
UACCACUUUCUGGUUGUGUGGCCUUGGGA